UUUUUCUAAUAGAACCUCUGAAAUCUCAUUUUCCGGAGUCCUUGGACUCUUAAAUCCUUUGGGAGACAUGAAUUCUUCACCACCAAUCCAGUCUUUCAUUGAAAUUACCAUUCCUCCAUGUUCUGGAAGGCAUAACAAAGGUACGAAUGUUGCGCGUGGAUUUUGAUUUCCAAGAGGUUUUAACCAACGAUCGGAAACAAUCUCUUGAAAUUCACAAUCAACGUUUAAGCAA